GAUGAACGCUAGCGGCAGGCCUAAUACAUGCAAGCUGAACGGCAAGAUUUGUAGCAAUACGAGUCCUAGAGUAGCGUAAGGGUGCGUAACACGUAUGCAAUCUGCCCGCAACAGGAGGAUAGCUUAGCGAAAGUUGAGAUAAGACUCCAUAAGAUCACGAGAGGGCAUCUGAUUGUGAUUAAACUACAAGGGGUUGCGGAUGAGCAUGCGUCUGAUUAGUUAGUUGGCGGGU
rnacentral:rRNA from 1 species